CUCUGUGCCCCUACAGACAGACUUGAGGCGCUUCAGGACAUAUAAAGGAAACUCAGUCAGAGAUCUGCUGAGAGCCAUGAGGAACAAGAAGCAUCACUACCACGAGUUGCCACCAGAUGUGCAGGAGACUCUCGGCGAGCUGCCCGAAGGCUUCGUCAGCUACUUCACCACACGGUUUCCACGGUUACUGAUGCACACACACGCUGCUCUGCACAUCUGCGGACACGAGAGACUGUUCCACCCAUACUAUCUGGCCCCCGCCGCCAAAUAGCAUUCACAUUACUCUGUUCACGGAGAGCCAAACACACACACAUACACACACACACAUGCACACACGCACAUACACUGGUGUACUUUUGUGUGAGCUAAAGAAAUCUCUGACAGUGCCCCGUUAUUGCUUUUGUAAAGCCCAUACUGUUUCUGGGGGGAAGAUACAGUGCUGUGAAAAAGUUUUUCUAAACCUUGAGUUGUUUUAUACAUUUAUAUUUUUGCAGCCACUGAUCAAGAAAUAUUUUAAAAUUUAAAUAGAAAGCAUUCAGAGUGCAUACCUCUACAAAGGCUGCAUACAUUUUUAUUUUAAUAAUAGAAAAUGUUUAAACAAUAUCCUAAUGUGUCACUCCACUAGAAUAUACAUAAUGAACAAAGUGAGGAAAAAAAGCCUCUCGGUGUACUUUAUGAUGAAGACAUUUGACUUUUAUUGGAGUGCUACCGGAUUUUGUUUUGGGCAAACGAACACACUGCUGCUCUUGAAUUAGAUCUGGAGAACAUGUUUACAGGAAGACGUUUUUAAUGAGGUGUAGCAAAGAAAAAAGUGUGCUGCACAUCUCCAGAUCCUGCUUCAGUUGUCUUCGUUGUUAAGGCACCGGUUUGAGCUCUGGGUUGGCUCACGUGUGGAUAUUCCUUCAUCCUUAUUUUACAUCGCAGUCCUUUUUAUCUAUUUAUUUCUUUCUUUCAGGCAGA